rnacentral:pre_miRNA from 1 species
CUAUUACUCCCCUGUUCGGAAUUACUUGUCGCGAAAAUGGAUGUAUCUAGAUGUAUUUUAGUUCUAAAUACAUCCAUUUCCGAGACAAGUAAUUUGGAACGGAGGGAGUAGGCG